UACGAAGGGGGCUAGCGUUGCUCGGAAUGACUGGGCGUAAAGGGCGCGUAGGCGGAUUGUACAGUCAGGCGUGAAAUUCCCGGGCUCAACCUGGGGGCUGCGCUUGAGACGUGCGAUCUUGAGUGGGGAAGAGGGUCGUGGAAUUCCCAGUGUAGAGGUGAAAUUCGUAGAUAUUGGGAAGAACACCGGUGGCGAGGGCGGCGACCUGGUCCUUGACUGACGCUGAGGCGCGAAAGCGUGGGGAGCAAACAGG
rnacentral:rRNA from 1 species